rnacentral:rRNA from 1 species
CCUACGUGAGGCAGCAGUGAGGAAUAUUGGUCAAUGGGCUUACGCCUGAACCAGCCAAGUCGCGUGAGGGAAGACUGCCCUAUGGGUUGUAAACCUCUUUUGUCAGGGAGCAACGACGGCUACGUGUAGCCGGACUGAGAGUACCUGAAGAAAAAGCAUCGGCUAACUCCGUGCCAGCAGCCGCGGUAAUACGGGGGAUGCGAGCGUUAUCCGGAUUUAUUGGGUUUAAAGGGUGGGUAGGCGGCAUGCAAAGUCAGCGGGAAAAUCGCGGGGCUCAAACUCGCUGCGCCGUUGAUACUGGCGUUGUUGAGUGGACGAGAGGUAUGCGGAAUGCGUGGUGUAGCGGUGAAAUGCAUAGAGAUCACGCAGAACUCCGAUUGCGAAGGCAGCAUACCGGCGCCCAACUGACGCUGAGGCACGAAAGCGUGGGUAUCGAACAGGAUUAGAUACCCGAGUAGUC